rnacentral:tRNA from 1 species
GGAGCUCAGUCGGUUAGAGCAUGGUGCUGCUAACACCAAGGUCACGGGUUCAAUCCCCGUUUGGUCCC